rnacentral:rRNA from 1 species
UACGUAGGGCGCAAGCGUUGUCCGGAAUUAUUGGGCGUAAAGAGCUCGUAGGCGGCCUGUUACGUCUGAUGUGAAAUCUCACAGCUUAACUGUGAAACUGCAUUGGAUACUAUUCGGCUUGAGAGUUGGAGGGGGGACUGGAAUUCUUGGUGUAGCAGUGAAAUGCGUAGAUAUCAAGAGGAACACCAGUGGCGAAGGCGAGUCCCUGGACAACUUCUGACGCUGAGGCACGAAAGCUAGGGGAGCAAACAGG